rnacentral:lncRNA from 1 species
AAUAACUAUAAUCGAUCAUCACAAAUGACAAUAAGUUACACCCUGAAAUAUAAUUCGACAUACUUGAUAUGUACGUGUAUAUGUUAGUGUUUGCAUGCAUUAAGAGAGCGAAGGAUUUAUUUAUUAACAAUGCUGUCAGUUCUGAUAUCUGGACUUUUAAGUAUUGUGUCUGUUGCAUCAGGUAUUAUAGAGUUACAGACUUACGAUCAGCAGACAUGCAAACAGUUCGGGGCUUUUAUAGUCUGGGACCUCAGCGAGAUAACAAAUACAUUUGAUAUACAACGAAAUUUGAUAUGUCAAAUUAUAAACAAUACACGUGAAGGCACUUCUAUUCGUUUGAACAUAAUGGAUACCAUUUUAAGCAAUGUUUUGGAUAUGAAAAAAGACAACAGAAACCACUGUUUUGAAAACAUCGCUCAGGUUAAACUUACCGGUUCGGAACGAAAUGUAAUUCCAUAUAAACACUUUAAAGGAAGAGUUAUCAAACAUUACAAAUGAAACUGUAACAGCAGCAUUAGAACUUUUCUUUGUUGUGGAUGACAAUUCAAGGAUAGAUAAUGAAGAAAUUGCAAACGAGGAAUUGAAGAAAUUCAAAACGUUUGUUGCAGUCCGUGGGACAAAGCCACCACCAAAGUUCUGGACAAAUCUCGCCACAAAUAAACGUCACCUGCUUGAACUUAAUGAUAACGUUGCUGGGGAUUUAGAUGUCUUCCUGAACAGUUCUUGUCACGAUUCCAGAUUGUACUGCAACACGGAUAUGUACUGGACUGGGAAGGAAUGCAGAACAUGUAAAUUCAUCUGUGCGAGGAUAUCUUCAGAAGAUUCACCAUUCUGUCUCCAAGAAUGUCCUUGUAUGUCCAGUUUUAAUAUUCAGUCAUUCUUUCAGUGUGUUUACAUUUGGUUUGAGCGACGACAGAAACUGAAUUUCUCCGUUUUACUACAACAUAGGAUGUAGCCAUUUUACGAAAUUAAAAUACGAAAAUAUAAAAAAAAACUUUAAUAGAUAUUAAAACCGAUAUCAAAUAUGCUGGUUGGAACCAAGGCAGAGAGUUGAAUCAUUUCAGCAUUUUCAAAUAGUCCCAAAUGAUCUAAUAAUCUAUUCCUUUUUUAGGCAUAAAAAAUUCAUUGUUUCGGCAUGUCGUAAAAUAGAGUAGGUAGGUCG